rnacentral:rRNA from 1 species
GUAGGGUGCGAGCGUUGUCCGGAUUUAUUGGGCGUAAAGGGCUCGUAGGUGGUUGAUCGCGUCGGAAGUGUAAUCUUGGGGCUUAACCCUGAGCGUGCUUUCGAUACGAGUUGACUUGAGGAAGGUAGGGGAGAAUGGAAUUCCUGGUGGAGCGGUGGAAUGCGCAGAUAUCAGGAGGAACACCAGUGGCGAAGGCGGUUCUCUGGGCCUUUCCUGACGCGGAGGAGCGAAAGCGUGGGGAGCGAACAGGCUUAGAUACCCUGGUAGUCCACGCUGUAAACGGUGGGUACUAGGUGUGGGGUCCAUUCCACGGGUUCCGCGCCGUAGCUAACGCUUUAAGUACCCCGCCUGGGGAGUACGGCCGCAAGGCUAAAACUCAAAGGAAUUGACGGGGCCCCGCACAAGCGGCGGAGCAUGCGGAUUAAUUCGAUGCAACGCGUAGAACCUUACCUGGGUUUGACAUGGAUCGGGAGUGCUCAGAGAUGGGUGUGCCUCUUUUGGGGUCGGUUCACAGGUGGUGCAUGGCUGUCGUCAGCUCGUGUCGUGAGAUGUUGGGUUAAGUCCCGCAACGAGCGCAACCCUUGUUCACUGUUGCCAGCACGUUAUGGUGGGGACUCAGUGGAGACCGCCGGGGUCAACUCGGAGGAAGGUGGGGAUGACGUCAAGUCAUCAUGCCCCUUAUGUCCAGGGCUUCACGCAUGCUACAAUGGCUGGUACAGAGAGUGGCGAGCCUGUGAGGGUGAGCGAAUCUCGGAAAGCCGGUCUCAGUUCGGAUUGGGGUCUGCAACUCGACCUCAUGAAGUCGGAGUCGCUAGUAAUCGCAGAUCAGCAACGCUGCGGUGAAUACGUUCCCGGGGCUU